GUGAGGAAUAUUGGUCAAUGGGCGGGAGCCUGAACCAGCCAAGUCGCGUGAAGGAAGAAGGAUCUAUGGUUCGUAAACUUCUUUUGCAGGGGAAUAAAGUGCAGGACGUGUCCUGUUUUGUAUGUACCCUGCGAAUAAGGAUCGGCUAACUCCGUGCCAGCAGCCGCGGUAAUACGGAGGAUCCGAGCGUUAUCCGGAUUUAUUGGGUUUAAAGGGUGCGUAGGUGGUUUGAUAAGUCAGCGGUGAAAGUUUGCAGCUUAACUGUAAAAAUGCCGUUGAAACUGUCGGACUUGAGUGUAAAUGAGGUAGGAGGAAUGCGUGGUGUAGCGGUGAAAUGCAUAGAUAUCACGCAGAACUCCGAUUGCGAAGGCAGCUUACUAAGCUACAACUGACACUGAGGCACGAAGGCGUGGGGAUCAAACAGGAUUAGAAACCCGGGUAGUCC
rnacentral:rRNA from 1 species